GCUCCGGUAGCAUCGUGGUUAGAGCGUCCGCCUCGGAUGCGCGAGGUUGUGGGUUCGAUCCCCAGUCGAGUCA